CGAGCGGGAGGACGUACGCGUGCUGGCCGAGGAGGGGAUACUCCGGCCGGUGGGGGAGUUCCGGGGGUACCCC
rnacentral:tRNA from 1 species